rnacentral:rRNA from 1 species
UACAGAGGUCGCAAGCGUUGCUCGGAUUCAUUGGGCGUAAAGGGUGCGUAGGCGGCGCGGUAAGUCGGGUGUGAAAUCUCGGAGCUUAACUCCGAAACUGCAUUCGAUACUGCCGUGCUCGAGGACUGGAGAGGAGACUGGAAUUUACGGUGUAGCGGUGAAAUGCGUAGAUAUCGUAAGGAAGACCAGUGGCGAAGGCGGGUCUCUGGACAGUUCCUGACGCUGAGGCACGAAGGUCAGGGGAGCAAACGGG